UCUUAGAAGUCACCUAUGAGGGAAGCUAGUUUUACUAAUUUACAAAUGGAAAAACUGAAAUUCAGAAAACUACUUAGGAUGAAACAUAGGAAUGUUUUUCACUCCUAAAUUUGGGGAGUAGGUGUAUUAUCUACUCUCUUCAUACAGUAGUAGAGAAACAAUCAGUAUAUUCUGGAAAAAAGAGGAAAUGAACAGAAAACAAUGCAAUAUAUGGCCUCUCUCAGACAUUCCAACAGUGACUGAACUAAGGUUCAGCAAAUACCUUAGAAGCACACGUGACAGUAAAUGAGUAAAUUAUAACACUAUGUUGCUUUACCAGAUAGCCUAAUGUAAUAUAUCCUAAAAUAGCUACUAUAAAUGUAUAUAAUUUUCAUUUAGCUCUUUUUAUCAAUUAGAAACUACUACAAAAGUUUUUGGGUUAUAGAUACUGAGUUAAAGUAUUCAGGUUAGUUUCAAAAUGCUGUGUGGCAUGUUUCAAAUGAG
rnacentral:lncRNA from 1 species